GGUAGAUGGGAGGCCAAACACCACGGUACAUGUUUUGUCAUUUAUUUCCUUCAAUAUUUACUUUCUUUUACCUAUAUUAACUCUGUUAUCGCAGGUAUUGGAGAAUUUUCUGAGGUGAGAUCAUGCUCUUUGAAGAGGAUUAAAGAUCGUCGGAUUCGGUGCCGAGGAAUACUAACGAAUGGAAGGAAUAUUUGAAUGACAAAGAUGCACAUAGCAAGGCAAGACCAGCUCGGAGGUUUAAAAUGGAUGCCUCGGCUGAGAUUGCAGCAUCCGAGGAUAGAAAAUGGCUCCUCCUUUGCGGUCGUAUUCUUUUCUCAUCGAAGGUACUUUAAGGGAUACAUGUGU
rnacentral:lncRNA from 1 species